rnacentral:rRNA from 1 species
UACGUAGGGGGCUAGCGUUGUCCGGAAUCAUUGGGCGUAAAGAGCGUGUAGGCGGUCCGGUAAGUCCGCUGUGAAAGUCGGGGGCUCAACCCUCGAAUGCCGGUGGAUACUGUCGGGCUAGAGUGCGGAAGAGGCGAGUGGAAUUCCCAGUGUAGAGGUGAAAUUCGUAGAUAUUGGGAAGAACACCGGUGGCGAAGGCGGCCAUCUGGACCGCAACUGACGCUGAGGCGCGAAAGCGUGGGGAGCAAACAGG